AACGAACGCUGGCGGCAGGCUUAACACAUGCAAGUCGAGCGGGCCCUUCGGGGUCAGCGGCAGACGGGUGAGUAACACGUGGGAACGUACCUUUUGGUUCGGAACAACUCCGGGAAACUGGAGCUAAUACCGGAUAAGCCCUUAUGGGGAAAGAUUUAUCGCCACAAGAUCGGCCCGCGUCUGAUUAGCUAGUUGGUGGGGUAACGGCCCACCACGGCGACGAUCAGUAGCUGGUCUGAGAGGAUGAUCAGCCACACUGGGACUGAGACACGGCCCAGACUCCUACGGGAGGCAGCAGUGGGGAAUAUUGGACAAUGGGCGCAAGCCUGAUCCAGCCAUGCCGCGUGAGUGAUGAAGGCCUUAGGGUUGUAAAGCGCUUUUGUCCGGGAAGAUAAUGACUGUACCGGAAGAAUAAGCCCCGGCUAACUUCGUG
rnacentral:rRNA from 1 species